ensembl:misc_RNA 7SK 7SK RNA
GGAUGUGAGGGUGAUCUGGCUGCGAUAUCUGUUACCCCAUUGAUCGCCAGGGUUGAUUAGGCUGAUCUGGUUGGCUAGAUGGGUCCCCUUCCUCCCUCACCACUUCAUGUGCGUCCCUCCUGAAGCUGUGCGCUCAGUCGAACAAGAUGGCCUUCCCUGAAUAGCGACAGACCUGUCUUCAGUCAAGGGUAUAUGAGUAGCUGAGCUCCCCUGCUAUAACCUCCAAACAAGCUCUCAAGAUCCAUGAUUAGUCAGCAGUUUGUUUGGCUUUCUAUGUUAACUCUUUUUUCAGCCACCAGGUUCCAGAUGGCUAACAUGAU